rnacentral:rRNA from 1 species
AACGAACGCUGGCGGCAGGCCUAACACAUGCAAGUCGAGCGAGGACUUCGGUUCUAGCGGCGGACGGGUGAGUAACACGUGGAUAACCUACCUAUAAGACUGGGAUAACUUCGGGAAACCGGAGCUAAUACCGUAUAACAUGUUGAACCGCAUGGUUCAACAGUGAAAGACGGUUUUGCUGUCACUUAUAGAUGGAUCCGCGCCGCAUUAGCUAGUUGGUAAGGUAACGGCUUACCAAGGCAACGAUGCGUAGCCGACCUGAGAGGGUGAUCGGCCACACUGGAACUGAGACACGGUCCAGACUCCGACGGGAGGCAGCAGUAGGGAAUCUUCCGCAAUGGGCGAAAGCCUGAAGGAGCAACGCAGCGUGAGUGAAGAAGGUCUUCGGAUCGUAAAACUCUGUUAUUAGGGAAGAACAAAUGUGUAAGUAACUAUGCACGUCUUGACGGUACCUAAUCAGAAAGCCACGGCUAACUACGU